ACCUCCCAUCCCUGAUCACCUUGGAAACCUGUACUUCAGUGUCUAGAUAACAAAUGAAACUUCAAAAUUAAAAAAGAAGAAGGAGGAGGAAGAGGAAGAGGAGGAGGAGGAGAAAAUAUGUUGUUUGUUACAGGUGUGGAUAAAGAUGUGAUCUCUAGGGUUCUUGUUUCCAACAUCAUGUCUGCUGCUUGGUGCCCUGCCUUCCCAUAGAAACAGACUCAUCCUUCAGGAAUCAGAAAAAAAAAUACCAUCAAGUCUUGCCACCAGCCACAGUGAGGGAACAGGAAGGCAGAGGAGACUGUUGGAGCCGCCACAAGGACAAGGAAGAUGUAAGUGGGCUAAGGGACUGCUGGGGCUUGGCAGAACACAGAGAGAAAACUCCAGCUACACCACACUCUGGAGACAGAGUGUACUAGUUCUUGGUAGCACAUUGAGCCUGAAGAAGAGGCCGACUUCUACAUCACACACUCCAAGGCUCAGGAGACACCAUGAAAAAGGCGGCAUAAAAGAUAUAAGAGCCAGGGCCAGGGAAACAGGUUCCAUUGUAGCAGUUGGGGAUGCCAUCUUGACCAAAGCAACCAUGUUAGAGGCUUGAAGCCAACCCUGACAGCAACCUGAUUCUGUAAAGACAAUCCCAGGAAUUUAAGCCAGAUAAACUAUUCCAUGGAUGCAAAAGACCAAGAAUGUUAUCUCAGGCCUACAGGAAUGCAUAUUUGCAGGAAUGAAGUAAUUGUGGCUUUUGCCUCUAACAACUCCUUCCCAGUUUCAGUCAUAGCCAUAGUCCUGAAUCCAACCAAGGGGCUGUGGUCAGUUGAAACUUAAAUAA